AGGGAUAAGGGUUACUCAAGGGCUGCUUUGCCCCUUUAUGCUGAGCUGUAUGUAAAUUUGAAGGCUGUUUCCUCUUUAUAUCAGUGGUCACAUCUCCCUGCACCAGCCACAUCAGGAGACACACCCUGUUUGCUGAACACGUUUCCACUUGACCUCCCCCACCCCAAAGACAAGGAAAGAAAUGAUGCUUUGGUUUCAAUUUGUGUUCACUUUAGCAGCCUUCAAAGGUGUCCAAGCAGACAUCCAGCUUGUUGAGUCUGGAGGAGAUGUCAAAAGGCCCGGAGAGUCUCUCCGCCUCUCCUGUCGAACCUCUGGGUUCACCCUCAGCAACUACUGCAUGGAUUGGGUACGACAGGCUCCAGGGAAGGGACUGGAAUGGAUUGCAAGGGAUUGUGGUGGAAGUUCACAAUAUUAUGCUGAGCAAGUGAGAGGGCGCUUCACCAUCUCCAAGGACAACUCUGCAAACAUGGUAUAUCUGCAAAUGAACAGCCUGAAACUUGAGGACACAGCUGUUUAUUACUGUGCAAGAGACACAGUGAGAGGAAGUGAAUCUGAAUCCUAACAAAAACUUCCCUUUGCC